rnacentral:rRNA from 1 species
UACGGAGGGGGUUAGCGUUGUUCGGAAUGACUGGGCGUAAAGCGCGCGUAGGCGGAUCAGGAAGUUGGGGGUGAAAUCCCGGGGCUCAAUCCCGGAAUGGCCUUCAAAACUCCUGGUCUUAAGUUCGAGAGAGGUGAGUGGAAUUCCGAGUGUAGAGGUGAAAUUCGUAGAUAUUCGGAGGAACACCAGUGGCGAAGGCGGCUCACUGGCUCGACACUGACGCUGAGGUGCGAAAGCGUGGGGAGCAAACAGG